UACGUAGGGGGCAAGCGUUGUCCGGAUUUAUUGGGCGUAAAGAGCGUGUAGGCGGCUAGAUAGGUCCGUUGUGAAAACUCGAGGCUCAACCUCGGGCUUGCAGUGGAUACGGGCAGACUAGAGUGCGGUAGGGGAGACUGGAAUUCCUGGUGUAGCGGUGGAAUGCGCAGAUAUCAGGAGGAACACCGAUGGCGAAGGCAGGUCUCUGGGCCGCAACUGACGCUGAGGAGCGAAAGCAUGGGGAGCGAACAGG
rnacentral:rRNA from 1 species